rnacentral:rRNA from 1 species
UACGUAGGGUGCGAGCGUUGUCCGGAAUUAUUGGGCGUAAAGAGCUCGUAGGCGGUGUGUCACGUCGUUCGUGAAAACCUGCAGCUUAACUGUGGGCGUGCGGUCGAUACGGGCAUCACUGGAGUUCGGCAGGGGAGACUGGAAUUCCUGGUGUAGCGGUGAAAUGCGCAGAUAUCAGGAGGAACACCGGUGGCGAAGGCGGGUCUCUGGGCCGGAACUGACGCUAAGGAGCGAAAGCGUGGGGAGCGAACAGG